AGCAGCCGCGGUAAUUCCAGCUCCAAUAGCGUAUAUUAAAGUUGUUGCAGUUAAAAAGCUCGUAGUUGAAUUUCGGGGUCAGCAGGUUGGUCGUGCCACCGGUAUGCACUGGCUUUGCUGAUUCCUCCUUCUUGUAGAACCGUAAUGCCAUUAAGUUGGUGUUGCGGGGAAACAGGACUGUUACUUUGAAAAAAUUAGAGUGUUUAAAGCAGGCUGAGGCUUGAAUACAUUAGCAUGGAAUAAUGAAAUAGGACGACGAUCCUAUUUUGUUGGUUUCUAGGAUUGACGUAAUGAUUAAUAGGGAUAGUUGGGGGCAUUAGUAUUCAAUUGUCAGAGGUGAAAUUCUUGGAUUUAUUGAGGACUGACUACUGCGAAAGCAUUUGCCAAGGAUGUUUUCAUUAAUCAAGAACGAAAGUUAGGGGAUCGAAGCCGAUCAGAUACCGUCGUAGUCUUAACCAUAAACUAUGCCGACUAGGGAUCGGAUGAUGUUAAUUUUUUAAUGACUCA
rnacentral:rRNA from 1 species